rnacentral:pre_miRNA from 1 species
ACUCCCUGCCCACAUCAAGCUUACAGUCUGUCUCUCCCUCCAGACUGUAAGCUCGUUGUGGGCAGGGAAU